rnacentral:lncRNA from 1 species
GCACACGCUCCACAGCGCCAGCACGCCCGUCCAAAACGCGCGAACUGAACGUUCGCCGCAUAGCUCCAGCCGCCAACUCAGCUGCAUCGCAUGCGGCGGCCGCCAGUUCCACGCCCAGAGCUCCACUCCAGCUUGCUACAGGCCGCUUACUCCUCGUCCUCAGCCUCGUUGUCGGCAAUGUUGAAGUACCGGAGCUCGUAGACGUUGCGGUCCUUGUUGGAAGCAAUGACGCGCAGCCAGUCGCGCACGUUGUGCUUCUUCAGGUACUUCUUGGUGAGGUACUUCAGGUAGCGCUUGCUCAGCUGGGACUCAGCAGUCACGGUGACCUUGGUCUUCUCCUUGGCCACCUUGAUAGAGUCGCCCAGCACGCCGGUCUUGCCGUCCACCUUGAUCUUGUCCAUCAG